CUGCAAUGAGGGGCAGGGAGUGGACAUAUUUCAGAUCAAUCCACCCUAGACAAAUAUUCAUUCCCUUUCACUGUCCCCUGUGCAGUAAUAACAAUGUGACCUUUAGAAAGAGUAUAAAGCCUGGACAGGGCAAAAUGAGAAGACACCCCUCUAUGUGUAAAUCCCCUACGGGAUCCCUCUAGGUGGUAAUAUUGAUCAUAGGAAUGUAUGGAGGCUUCUGGAUGGCCCAAGAUAUUUGAUGGUGAAGAUGCAUAUUCCCCUACAGUAUCUGGGGGCAAUGACCCAUUUCUUUGGGUCUCCUGACCUCCAUUUGUGCUCUUUGUUUCAGCUCUUGCCUAUUUGCUGUUUGACGAAGAACCCUCCAUUGGUAGAGAGAUCUUUGCCAUCUUUGAGCAGAUGAACUGGCCUGCACCAUGCAGACAGUCGUCCUCACUGAGAAGCCACUUCUACUACAGCUUCUCAUGAUUGGCUCAGGAAGCCAGAAGAAAUUGGACAGUCGCUCUCCUGAAAAGGCUCUCCUCCUGCUUCUGUUGUGUCUCUUGUAUGAAAUCUUCUCCAGACCAGGGAACA